rnacentral:lncRNA from 1 species
UGAAAGUGUUGCAGUACAAUUUAAAGACUACACUCUUGUUGGAAGCAGACACCUGCAAUUAAUUUAGAUCCCGAGAAUUUAUAAUGAAACUGAAGAAAAAAAAACUAGAGAAGUUCAUAAACUGAUGGAUGAAUGACCUACUUCACCAGCCAAAAGACCAGAUGUUGGUGUAAAAACUGCUUGAGAAGCAUCUGUGAGAGAUACCGCGCUGUCCGUCUCCCAGGAAGGAAGUUCGUAUCUCUUGUGCGUGUUCUAAUUUUAAAAUUAACACAGGACUCCAAAAAUUCAACUGAGAAAUGGGAAUGAUCUUCCAGGUCCAAUGAUAUUAGUGUCUGGACCAAAGUCACAGCUACUGGCUUCCUGAAGACAGUGAUAUACAGACUGGGUCUCCACCAUGUGCAUGAGCUAGGAAAGGGCAGAAGAAAGAACUGGAGGAGAAUUGGUCCCGAUAGAAGGGAAGAGAUGUGAGAAGGAUAGAAGAAAUUGUGACUGGGGCAGGCCCACUGACCUCCAGUGGAGCCACGGGCAGAGCACCCAAGACUGACUGAGCCCUGCUGUGUCCGGCUGGCUACACCUCCUUGAGACCAAGAGCUGAUAAGGAUCCCCCAGGCAGGCCCACCAGCCGCCUGUGGAGUUGCGUGGGCACCUACAACAACAGACCCCCCCCCCAACCGCCUCUGGCCUCUUGGCUGUGCAGCUACCUGGUUCCACACUGCAGAGGCACAGGGGACAUAAAGGCCACUGUCCUGAGCUGCAGAAGUGAACGAGAGAGAGAGAGAGAGAGGGCCUCUCUCAGGCUUCCUGAUGAAAACUGAAGCCCACUGGAAACGUGAAGAGAAUCUCUGCAGUAAAGGCACACCAGACCACCAUACUUGGAGGACAUGGAGCUCAACUUGGGACUUGAAGCCAGAAAUCUGCCUGAAUCUCACAGAAAGAGCAAGAAUCUGUGCCUGGAAAACAGACCACAGACCCACAGGGAUGAGUACAUUGGAAGCAUUGGAGUGGAGUAAACAUCUUCAAGUUUCAAGUAGUGGAUUAAGAGCAGCAGCAGAAAAGCCAUAAAAACCCAGAUGAUGAAGACUCUUUAAAGGGUAACCUUCAAACAAUCAUUGCAAAGACUUGAGAUUUUCAUUACUACUUUUUAAUUCCC